ensembl:lncRNA
CUAGCACUUUCUUUUGAGGAUGAGGUGUAAUUGUGUGUCAUAUAUUAACACCAGAGUGGUGUUAACAGUGAACUGACCCUGAAGCACCAGCUGCUGCUCGUCACUGCCAGUCACACUGCACAUCAUGGUCAGAGGCCCCAGCACUGGGAAGGGAAUGGCUCUCCAUUGCCAUCAUUUGUCCAGUGGGAGAGAAGGAAAGAUGGCAGAACAUGCUGCUCUCAGAAGGUUAUUCCCCAGAAUUCUCCAGAACCAGCCUCUGACCGGGCUGCACCUUCACCCUGGUUCUACAGAGGCUGGAGGCACGGGGUCACAGACCAAGAGAUGACACAGUACAAGUAAUGAUCAUUGCAGUCUGAUUCGUGCUGGGAGCCAAUUUAGAAGUGUAAAAGCUGUGGAAAGGUGCUUCUGCAGCUUUCCUUCCCUAAGCCAGCAGUCGCCUGGCUGGAG